AGAGUUUGAUCCCAGCUCAGGAUGAACGCUGGCGGCGUGCUUAACACAUGCAAGUCGAACGAACCUUCGGGUUAGUGGCGGACGGGUGAGUAACGCGUGGGAAUCUGCCCUCAGGAGGGGGAUAACGGCUGGAAACGGCCGCUAAUACCCCAUAUGCCGAGAGGUGAAAAGAAAUUCGCCUGAGGAUGAGCCCGCGUCUGAUUAGCUAGUUGGUGGGGUAAGAGCUCACCAAGGCGACGAUCAGUAGCUGGUCUGAGAGGAUGAUCAGCCACACUGGGACUGAGACACGGCCCAGACUCCUACGGGAGGCAGCAGUGAGGAAUUUUCCGCAAUGGGCGAAAGCCUGACGGAGCAACGCCGCGUGAGGGAUGAAGGCCUCUGGGCUGUAAACCUCUUUUCUCAAGGAAGAAGACAUGACGGUACUUGAGGAAUAAGCCACGGCUAAUUCCGUGCCAGCAGCCGCGGUAAUACGGGAGUGGCAAGCGUUAUCCGGAAUUAUUGGGCGUAAAGCGUCCGCAGGCGGCCCUGUAAGUCUGUCGUUAAAGCGUGGAGCUUAACUCCAUUUAAGCGAUGGAAACUACAGGGCUUGAGUGUGGUAGGGGCAGAGGGAAUUCCCGGUGUAGCGGUGAAAUGCGUAGAUAUCGGGAAGAACAUCAGUGGCGAAGGCGCUCUGCUGGGCCAUAACUGACGCUCAUGGACGAAAGCCAGGGGAGCGAAAGGGAUUAGAUACCCCUGUAGUCCUGGCCGUAAACGAUGAACACUAGGUGUCGGGGGAAUCGACCCCCUCGGUGUCGUAGCCAACGCGUUAAGUGUUCCGCCUGGGGAGUACGCACGCAAGUGUGAAACUCAAAGGAAUUGACGGGGGCCCGCACAAGCGGUGGAGUAUGUGGUUUAAUUCGAUGCAACGCGAAGAACCUUACCAGGGUUUGACAUCCUGCGAAUCCCUUGGAAACGAGGGAGUGCCUUCGGGAGCGCAGAGACAGGUGGUGCAUGGCUGUCGUCAGCUCGUGUCGUGAGAUGUUGGGUUAAGUCCCGCAACGAGCGCAACCCACGUCUUUAGUUGCCAGCAUUCAGUUGGGCACUCUAGAGAGACCGCCGGUGAUAAACCGGAGGAAGGUGUGGAUGACGUCAAGUCAUCAUGCCCCUUACAUCCUGGGCUACACACGUACUACAAUGCUACGGACAAAGGGCAGCAAGCUCGCGAGAGUUAGCAAAUCCCAUAAACCGUGGCUCAGUUCAGAUCGUAGGCUGCAACUCGCCUACGUGAAGGAGGAAUCGCUAGUAAUCGCAGGUCAGCAUACUGCGGUGAAUACGUUCCCGGGCCUUGUACACACCGCCCGUCACACCAUGGAAGUUGGCCAUGCCCGAAGUCGUUACUCCAACCCCG
rnacentral:rRNA from 1 species